CUUUGCGCUGGACGUCCUUCCGUCCAUAUUCCGUCAAUUUUUUCGUUAAUUAAAUACAAAAAUACAUUUUUCUUUCCAUAAACAAGGGUAAAAUUGUCCUCACCCACUUCACCUCUUUUUCCCGCCAUCAACUUAGUCCAUAAGUAACAGUAGCAGCAACAUGAAUCUGAAAAUACUUUAAAUGAUUAAGUUAAAUAAAGAAAAAAUAUCGUGAACACAUUAUAUUUCACAAU
rnacentral:lncRNA from 1 species